AACAAACAAACAAAACACAUAUCCUCAAGUGAGGAUUAAAAAAAAAGAGGUCACUCUGACUUUUUAAAAAAAUAAAAUCAUAAAAAUGAAAAUAUUGGAGAAGUAUUAUAAAAUUGAUAUCAUUAAAUUUCUAAAUGUUAAAAUUCUAAUAGAAAAGAUUAUUCUUAGAAUAUUCUUUUGUAUCCAGUUAAUUUAUUUUAAAAAUAUUUUGUAUUAUAUAAUAAUCUGUGGUCACUGAAUAAAAAUUCUUACUAUCAAGAGAUUUAUGACUACUAGUAACUUUUGAUAUAUUGUUCUAGAUAAAAUAUAUAUCAAUCAUAUAUGUGAAUAUAAAGCUAUGUCAUGUACAAAUAUACCUACACACAAACAUGUACAUAAUG